rnacentral:tRNA from 1 species
AGGCCAGUAGCAGAACUUGGCAUAUGCAGCGGUCUCAAAAGCCGUGAUUUGUGGGUUCGAGUCCCACCUGGCCCACCA